AUUGAACGCUGGCGGUAUGCUUAACACAUGCAAGUCGAACGGAAACGAUACUAGCUUGCUAGUAGGCGUCGAGUGGCGGACGGGUGAGUAACGCGUAGGAAUCUACCUGAUAGUGGGGGAUAGCCCGGAGAAAUUCGGAUUAAUACCGCAUAAUCUAUUCGUAGUAAAGUGGGGGACUUUCGAGCCUCACGCUAUCAGAUGAGCCUGCGUAAGAUUAGCUUGUUGGUAGGGUAAAAGCCUACCAAGGCGACGAUCUUUAGCUGGUCUGAGAGGAUGAUCAGCCACAUCGGGACUGAGACACGGCCCGAACUCCUACGGGAGGCAGCAGUGGGGAAUAUUGGACAAUGGGGGCAACCCUGAUCCAGCAAUACCGCGUGUGUGAAGAAGGCCUGAGGGUUGUAAAGCACUUUCAAUUGUGAAGAAAAGUUAACGGUUAAUAACCGUUAGCCUUGACGUUAACUUUAGAAGAAGCACCGGCUAACUCCGUGCCAGCAGG
rnacentral:rRNA from 1 species